AGAAUCAACGCUGGCGGCGUGCCUAACACAUGCAAGUCGAACGAGAAAGUGGAGCAAUCCAUGAGUAAAGUGGCGCACGGGUGAGUAACACGUGACUAACCUACCCUUGAGUGGGGGAUAACCUAGAGAAAUCUGGGCUAAUACCGCAUAAUACCUUCGGGUCAAAGGAGCAAUUCGCUUAAGGAGGGGGUCGCGGCCGAUUAGUUAGUUGGCGGGGUAAUGGCCCACCAAGACUAUGAUCGGUAUCCGGCCUGAGAGGGCGCACGGACACACUGGAACUGAAACACGGUCCAGACUCCUACGGGAGGCAGCAGUGGGAAUUUGCGCAAUGGGGGAAACCCUGACGCAGCAACGCCGCGUGGAGGAUGAAGUCCCUUGGGACGUAAACUCCUUUCGAUCGGGACGAUUAUGGACGGUACCGGAAGAAGAAGCCCCGGCUAACUUCGUGCCAGCAGCCGC
rnacentral:rRNA from 1 species